rnacentral:rRNA from 1 species
AUACGGAGGGUGCAAGCGUUAUUCGGAAUCACUGGGCGUAAAGGGUGCGUAGGCGGUUUGAUAAGUCUGAUGUGAAAUCCUAUGGCUCAACCAUAGAACUGCAUUGGAAACUGUCAGACUAGAAUACUGUAGGGGCAGAUGGAAUUAGUGGUGUAGGGGUAAAAUCCGUAGAUAUCACUAGGAAUACCGAAAGCGAAAGCGAUCUGCUGGGAAGUUAUUGACGCUGAGGCACGAAAGCGUGGGGAGCAAACGGGAUUAGAAACCCCAGUAGUCC